UUCCCCCUUAGUUCAGUUGGUAGAACGGCGGACUGUUAAUCCGUAUGUCGCAGGUUCGAGUCCCGCAGGGGAGGCCA
rnacentral:tRNA from 1 species